rnacentral:rRNA from 1 species
UACGAACGCUGGCGGCAGGCCUAAUACAUGCAAGUCGGACGAACCCUUCGGGGUGAGUGGCGCACGGGUGAGUAACGCGUGGGAACGUGCCCCUGGGUGCGGAACAACAGCUGGAAACGGCUGCUAAUACCGCAUAAUGACUUCGGUCCAAAGAUUUAUCGCCCAGGGAUCGGCCCGCGUCUGAUUAGCUAGUUGGUGAGGUAAAGGCUCACCAAGGCGACGAUCAGUAGCUGGUCUGAGAGGAUGAUCAGCCACACUGGGACUGAGACACGGCCCAGACUCCUACGGGAGGCAGCAGUAAGGGAUAUUGGACAAUGGAGGAAACUCUGAUCCAGCCAUGCCGCGUGAGUGAAGAAGGCCGUCGGGUUGUAAAACUCUUUCAGUAGUGAAGAUGAUGACGGUAACUACAGAAGAAGCUCCGGCUAACUUCGUGCCAGCAGCCGCGGUAAUACGAAGGGGGCGAGCGUUGUUCGGAAUCACUGGGCUUAAAGCGUACG